GACGAACGCUGGCGGCAUGCCUAAUACAUGCAAGUCGAGCGAACAGAUGAAGUGCUUGCACUUCUGACGUUAGCGGCGAACGGGUGAGUAACACGUAAGGAAUCUACCUAUAAGCGGGGGAUAACAUUCGGAAACGGGUGCUAAUACCGCAUAAUAUCUUCUUCCGCAUGGAAGAAGAUUGAAAGACGGCUCUGCUGUCACUUAUAGAUGACCUUGCGGUGCAUUAGUUAGUUGGUGGGGUAAUGGCCUACCAAGACGAUGAUGCAUAGCCGACCUGAGAGGGUGUUCGGCCACAUUGAGACUGAGACACGGCCCAAACUCCGACGGGAGGCAGCAGUAGGGAAUCUUCCGCAAUGGGCGAAAGCCUGACGGAGCAAUGCCGCGUGAGUGAAGAAGGCCUUCGGGUCGUAAAACUCUGUUAUAAGAGAAGAACAAAUUGUAGAGUAACUGCUACAGUCAUGACGGUAUCUUAUCAGAAAGCCACGGCUAACUACGUGCCAGCCGCCGCCGUAA
rnacentral:rRNA from 1 species